AAAGUAAUUGCUGUUUUUGCCAUUGCUUUAAUGGCAAAAACUGCAGUUACUUUUGUACCAA
rnacentral:miRNA from 1 species